rnacentral:rRNA from 1 species
CCUACGGGAGGCAGCAGUGGGGAAUAUUGCACAAUGGGGGAAACCCUGAUGCAGCAACGCCGCGUGAGUGAAGAAGUAUUUCUGUAUGUAAAGCUCUAUCAGCAGGGAAGAAAAUGACAGUACCUGACUUAGAAUGCCCGGCUAACUCCGUUCCAGCCGGCGCGGUAACACGUAGGGGGCAAGCGUUAUCCGGAUUUACCGGGUGUAAGGGGGGCGUAGACGGGUGCGCAAGUCAGAAGUGAAAGCCCGGGGCUCAACCGCGGGACUGCUUUUGAAACUGUGUGGCUAGAGUGCAGGAGUGGUAGGUGGAAUUCCUGGUGUAGCGGUGAAAUGCGUAGAUAUUAGGAGGAACACCGGUGGCGAAGGCGGCUUACUGGACUGUGACUGACGUUGAGGCUCGAAAGCGUGGGGAGCAAACAGGAUUAGAUACCCCAGUAGUC